UGGGGAAUAUUGCACAAUGGGCGCAAGCCUGAUGCAGCCAUGCCGCGUGUAUGAAGAAGGCCUUCGGGUUGUAAAGUACUUUCAGUCGGGAGGAAGGUGGUAAGGUUAAUACCUUUGCUCAUUGACGUUACCCGCAGAAGAAGCACCGGCUAACUCCGUGCCAGCAGCCGCGGUAAUACGGAGGGUGCAAGCGUUAAUCGGAAUUACUGGGCGUAAAGCGCACGCAGGCGGUCUGUCAAGUCGGAUGUGAAAUCCCCGGGCUUAACCUGGGAACUGCAUUCGAAACUGGCAGGCUAGAGUCUUGUAGAGGGGGGUAGAAUUCCAGGUGUAGCGGUGAAAUGCGUAGAGAUCUGGAGGAAUACCUGUGGCGAAGGCGGCCCCCUGGACAAAGACUGACGCUCAGGUGCGAAAGCGUGGGGAGCAAACAGG
rnacentral:rRNA from 1 species